AGCCUUACUGGCCACCCCAUGUCACUGCUGCUCUUUAGAAGCUGGACUCUGUGCAUUAUGCCCAACCCACCACUGGGUGUCACUGCUGCGCCAAGGGAAAUUUGCUAUGUGCAUUACACCAACUGGCCACCAGGAAUCACUGCUGCUUCUUAGGGUAGUGCACAGUCUCUAGCACCCAACUGGUCAUCAGCUGUCACUGUUUCUCUUUAGGAGCCAGAUUUUGUGCAUUAUCCCAACCCCACUGGGUAUCUCUGCUGCUCCAAGGGAAACAUGAUCUCUAAGCAUUACCCAGCCUGGCCACCAGGUGUCACUGAUGUGCAAAGUGAAACAAACUUUUACAGUAAACUUCCCAUAAUCCAGCACCUUUAGGACCCAGGGGGUGCCAGAUUAUC